CAGAAGUUGAGUCUAGUUGAGACUGAUAUGUUUCUCACCGGGCAACAACUUCUGUC
rnacentral:pre_miRNA from 1 species